CUUCAAAGAAAAAGCUUCUCAAAAGGUCUUAAAGCAGCUUGAAGAAUGGUCUGGGAUCUUAGGACUGAGAGAUCCUCUGGCUUAGAAAAGCUACACCACAUCAGUGCUGGAUAUCAACCACAAACUGUUUCCAGACAAGAGAGAAGAAGAUCAUGAUGGGGAGAUGAAACCAGUUUAGAUGUGAUGAUAAGGUAUCAUUAUUUUCUGAAACAGUAUCACAUGUCUUAUAUGUAUCACAGUUGACUGGAUGGGACUGUGUGACUUUUAAGGACAUUUCAUCACUCAUCUGUGUGAACUGAUUAAUAUAUGAGGUUAAUGUAUUUUUGAUGAUAAUUAUUUUCCUUGAAUCUUAUUUGUCUCGAUGCUACUUUAUCAACUUUAUAGUCUAUGCUUCAAUAAAAUGAAAAUGGUGAA